rnacentral:rRNA from 1 species
UACAGAGGUCCCAAGCGUUGUUCGGAUUCACUGGGCGUAAAGGGUGCGUAGGCGGUCGGGUAAGUCUGAUGUGAAAUCUCACAGCUUAACUGUGAAACUGCAUUGGAUACUAUUCGGCUUGAGAGUUGGAGGGGGACUGGAAUUCCUGGUGUAGCGGUGAAAUGACGCAGAUAUCAGGAGGAACACCGGUGGCGAAGGCGGGUCUCUGGGCCGAUACUGACGCUGAGGAGCGAAAGCGUGGGGAGCGAACAGG